rnacentral:rRNA from 1 species
UGUAAGCGUAUACCAAAGUUGUUGCAGUUAAAACGCUCGUAGUCGGAAUUUGGCAGUUCCAGAAGUGUGCACGUCGUGUGCGCACUUUGCGGGGACUGCUUUUGUGGUCUUGCGUAGGAUGAGGCACUUUCAUUAGUGAACGUCCUCACGCAACCACUCUUUACUGUGAGAAAAUCAGAGUGCUCAAAGCAGGCAUUUGCCGUGAAUGUAUUAGCAUGGAAUAAUAGAAUAGGACUCGGUUCUAUUUUGUUGGUUUGUUGGGACUGAGUAAUGAUUAAGAGGGACAGUUGGGGGCAUUUGUAUUCCGGCGCUAGAGGUGAAAUUCUUAGAUUGCCGGAAGACAAACUGCUGCGAAAGCGUCUGCCAAGGAUGUUUUCAUUGA